rnacentral:rRNA from 1 species
GCAGUAGCCGCGGGAAUACGAAGGGGGCUAGCGUUGUUCGGAUUUACUGGGCGUAAAGCGCACGUAGGCGGAUCGAUCAGUCAGGGGUGAAAUCCCAGAGCUCAACUCUGGAACUGCCUUUGAUACUGUCGAUCUGGAGUAUGGAAGAGGUGAGUGGAAUUCCGAGUGUAGAGGUGAAAUUCGUAGAUAUUCGGAGGAACACCAGUGGCGAAGGCGGCUCACUGGUCCAUUACUGACGCUGAGGUGCGAAAGCGUGGGGAGCAAACAGGAUUAGAUACCCGAGUAGUCCCUGUCUCUUAUAA